rnacentral:tRNA from 1 species
GCCUUUGUGGUGUAGUGGUCAGCAUGCUGGGCGCGUAUUCCAGAGGUCCGUGGUUCGAGUCCCGGCGAAGGCG